rnacentral:rRNA from 1 species
UACAGGGGGGGCAAGCGUUGUUCGGAAUUACUGGGCGUAAAGGGCUCGUAGGCGGCCAACUAAGUCAGACGUGAAAUCCCUCAGCUUAACUGGGGAACUGCGUCUGAUACUGGAUGGCUUGGAUUCGGGAGAGGAAUGCGGAAUUCCAGGUGUAGCGGUGAAAUGCGUAGAUAUCUGGAGGAACACCGGUGGCGAAGGCGGCAUUCUGGACCGAUAUUGACGCUGAGGAGCGAAAGCCAGGGGAGCAAACAGG